CUCCCAGCCUCCGGAGCUGUGAGAGAAAAAAAUGUCUGUUGUUUUAAGCUCCCCAGUUUGUGGUGCUUUGAUAUGGCAGCCGCACAGGAAACCGGCCCUGAGGGGAAUGUCAAAACCAGUCAUUUCCUCCACCAACGGUGUUCUGUUACAGUUGUGCCUUGUGUCAUGGAGACCCCGGAGAUGCCUACUGGUGGGAAAAUGACUUUGAUGCAAAAUUGCUUCCCCUUGGAGCCAAGAGAAAUUCUCUCUCUCUCCCUGCCCCAAUUCCCUCUUUCUCUCCCCUCCCCCACCCGCCUCCUGGCAUCUUCCAAGUUCACUCGUUGGUAAAAGCGUCCCCGUAAUACUCAUACUUUCUUAAAAAAUAUGUGUUGACAGGGGCUUAUGUUUUUUUCUUUCGUUUUCAGAUGCUGAGGUUUUUAGUGAGCCCUUUCUGGUCAAUACUGCAGGGUUUCCAUCAAAUAGCACUAGAAGUCUUUUCAAAGACCUGCGAGAUCGAAAAGAUCCCAGCCUGUUGAACGGAGAGUAAUUGGUGUCACACACCCGCCUCAUUCUUACAAAUAUCUCCUCUUCCCUUGCGGGCAGGAACCGGGAAAAGGAAGAGGUGCAGGGGGCGUGGGAGUGCAGGGCUGCGCACCCUGAGAAGAGGAACGGGCCUUUUGCACAUUACUCGCAUUACUCGCAUCUGCUGGUUAGCUCCGAGCCCCCUGCGGAGGACAAGGGGCCUGUGAAACCACCCCAGCAGUCCCACGGCCACCUUCGAUGAUAUGUGGAAGGGAAGAGGUUGAGGUAAACGCAACCCAAUUAAUCAAAUAAGGAUUAAGGGCAAGCAAAGACAAAAAUAGUACCUUUACUGAUUUCUGGGAGAUAAUUAAAUCAGACUUACUGCACAGGGAGAGAAAAGAUACGGUAAGUUUAUAAAAGAGAAGACCUUAAGUUCUGCAACAUUAAGUUGAUGCUCUGCAUCAACAAAGCGAAGAAAUCCCCUCCUGGCGGGGUGAUACCGGCACAUUGGGAUAGUCAGUAGCUAUUAAAAAAGAUCGCAAAGAGUAAACAAUAAAAUAUCCAUAGCUAUUUGAGCAUAAUAAACUCUUAUAUUGAAUAGUUGGAUGAGAUGUUCUUUUAACUGGCUGCAUAAAAUACAAAAUUUUCCAACACAGAAAGACAGCUCACUUUUUUUUUUUUUUUUUUGCUGUUAGGAGUUCUCACUUAACAUCCCUGCUGCCAAUUUUAAUUGAUAUUCCACUGAAGGUAUUAAUAAAAUUUUAGAACAUACCACUAGUUAUAUAUAUGUAUAGUAUCUGAAACACACACACACAGUGUCUGAAAAAGAUGUCUUCUCAGCUCUUAUUUUCUUGGAGAGAGCUCAUGGCAACCUUCCUGCCUGAAAGGGCAACUUCCUUUCUCCUCUCUACUCAUUGAUCAACAAAAUGCAUCUACACAUAUAUACUAAUCACCCGGAGUGUAAAUAAUAUAUUUAAUGUGUAUUCUUACUCAGUGUUUAUUUCAUAAAUAACUGUCAUGAUCAGGGUCCUUGGAUUGCAGGCAACAGAUGACUUUGGGCAAUUGAAGAAGGGAAUCUCCUGGAAAUUUACCAGGAACUCAGCAAAUCCUUGGAAAACUGAGAAUCAGACUUGGGUCUAGCAGAGAAGGAAUGAGGAUAAUGUAUUGAAUCAAAGCACAUCUCUUGAUUUAUGGGGUGCCUCAGUAGUGACUUGGAGAUGAACAGAUCAUUAAUCUGAUACUUAUUGAAAAGGUGGAUGGAAAUGCAUAGAGAGAGAGGCAUUGAAAUUACAGCAGGACCACUGGCCUUUUGACGUUUUCAGCAUUACCCUCUAACGUGAGGCUGCUUCUCCCGAUGCAGCAGAGAUUGAAAUGUCACAGCAGCAUGAUCAAUUAGAUGAUGUAGAAGAGAGGCAUUUGCUACCUGACCUUAAUCCACUGGGCAAGAGUAACUGCAUAGAGAAGACUGAAUACGGAGAGACUGCAAGGCAGAGGAAAGCAGCAGAGUAGAGUUUAAACGGGCACAAAGCAGCAUAAAUGUUGACUCGUGAUGAAAAGGACAUCCUCAGGAUAAAGGCUUAUUAUGACGUGCGUUGGUGCACUUACUCAUUCAAUUCUGAGUGAGGACAAAAUAAACAUAAACACCUCUAACAACAACAAAAAAUAUAUGGUAGGAAAGGAAGCAGGUAAGUUUUUGCAGGAAGUCUAGAUUUUGGAUCACGUAGCUUGUGAACCAAAGUGACAGGGAGAAAGAUAGACGCAAACGAUACCCAUGCGGUCAGAUGUUGGCAGUGGGAGACGUGACUAAGGGACCAUGAUAGCUGUCUUCCUCUCUUUAAAGCCCUAUCCUCAGAAGGAGGGAGGGUUAGACACCUUGUGGUGGGAAUGACAGAGAGGAGGGGUGUGGCUUACUGUAAGGAAUGGCUUCCCAAUAUUUGGAACCUGACAAAGGUCGCUGGGGCAGCCCUGCCCAGCUCCCCUGGGGCUGCAUCAAUGGAUAACCGUGGUUGUAGAGGGAUUCUUGCAUUAAAUGAGAUGACUUCAAUCACUCCCUAAUAUGCCUGCUCUGGAGCUUUACACCCCCUUGGAGAGGUCUAAAAUGGUUUUGAAGCUUGUUGAGGAGCAGAACUAAAUGAACUUUGGAGCUGCUUAGGCUUUGAUAGAAUCAGUCCUUCUCGGCCGCUUGUGUGCACAUUGUGGGCCUGGGAAUGGUUGCGAGUCUAUUUUGAUUAUGGGCAGCUGGUGUUAGCUAAGGGUUUUAUCAGAUUAGUCAUCCCUAGUAACAAUGAUAUGAAGCGUUUCCCCCGGAUUAUUAGUGGAGAUCUGUUAUGUUUACUCUUUUAGUUUUAUACUUAUUUUUCUUUUCCAUUUAAGCGCAACUCAAUGUAAAAGGGUUGUGGUUGGGAAUCUGUUUCCCCAAAUAAGCCACUAUUUUUUUCUAGGAUCCAUUUGGUUGUUUCUAUUUGUGGAGUUCCAUUGUGAGACAUCAACUUAUCAUAGCUGUGGAAAACUAGCAGGAGGUUCAGAGGAAAGCCAUGGAAACGAUGAGGACCAGGAAAAUGAAAUGUAAACAUGUAUCCUGGGAAGGUGAGGUUGAGGAUAAUGUUUAUGCCUGUUUGCAUGUCACUUUCCCUAGCACAGCUACUCAAAUACAUAUAUGUUGACUAACUUGUGUGGGGCUUGUGUACAGCUGUGGUCUUCUAGUUUACGAAGGCUAAUGGGGACGAUGUUUUCUAUUGAGACCCGGGUAUGAGCUUCAGGAUGAUCACAUAGUAGGUACUCCAGAUUUAACAGAUAUUCACUGGAUUAAAUUGAAUUCAAUGUUAGUUUCAAUACAGGCAUCCUGCUGAUAGUAAAGAUCAUUAAACUUUAAAAUGUGUUCUCAAGGAACACUGUGGCAUCUUCAUUUGAGAACAUCUUUUAAAUUGGAUAGCUAAUUAUCUGUUUAGAAUAAAAGCAGAGAAAUAGUUCUGAGUACUUCAUAAGGACUCAUACAGUUCUUGAUUUCAUUUGUGUGCUUUGCUUGUGUGUAAGCAAAGCAUUAACUCCAUAACUCAGGGGUGAAAUAACACAUGCAUAAAAGAUGAAUAGGUAGAAAGAAACUCCUUAUUUGAAAUUAUUUUUAUCUAAUCAAAAAGUAUAUAAUAGUCUUAAUUCUGCACUAUCAAAGUUCCUCAUAAAAAAUGAUCACAUA